rnacentral:tRNA from 1 species
GGGCGAGUGGCGGAAUGGUAUACGCGGUGGACUUAAAAUCCGCUGGUUUUACGACCUUGAGGGUUCGAGUCCCUCCUUGCCCACCA